rnacentral:rRNA from 1 species
UACGUAGGGACCAAGCGUUGUUCGGAUUUACUGGGCGUAAAGGGCGCGUAGGCGGCAUAUUAAGUCAGCUGUGAAGUCUCUGGGCUUAACCCAGAACUGUCAGCUGAUACUGAUGUGCUAGAGUGCAGAAGGGGCAAUCGGAAUUCUUGGUGUAGCGGUGAAAUGCGUAGAUAUCAAGAGGAACACCUGAGGUGAAGACGGGUUGCUGGGCUGACACUGACGCUGAGUGCGCGAAAGCCAGGGGAGCAAACGGG